GAGCUUCAAUUAAUUAAUUUAUAAGAAUUAAAACUAAAACCGCCACAAGGGACAACACAUUUUCUUACAUAAAUUAACAAUUUAGGUUGGGGUGACCUCGGAAUAUAAAAGAACUUCCGAGAGAUUUUAAGCCUAGACUUACAAGUCAAAGCAACAUAAUCACUUAUUGAUCCAAAACUUUUUGAUCAACGGAACAAGUUACCCUAGGGAUAACAGCGCAAUCCUAUUUAAGAGUCCCUAUCGACAAUAGGGUUUAC
rnacentral:rRNA from 1 species